rnacentral:rRNA from 1 species
CAAUAGCGUAUAUUAAAGUUGUUGCAGUUAAAAAGCUCGUAGUCUAAGCGAUUUGGCCUUUUCCCUUCUUAAUUGAGGGGAUUUGCCUGUGUUUUUUGGGGGAUGAUGUGGGUGGGCUUCAUUGUCUGCUCCGUCUAUCUCCUGUUGCACAGGGGGCCAAAUUUGUACUUCGGAGGACCAUCCUCGGGGGGUCAAACCUCUGGGGAAUCAAUGGGAUUCCGAUAGUUUACUUUGAGAAAAAUAGAGUGUUCAAAGCAGGCGAUUUUUUGCCCUUGAAUACGUUAGCAUGGGAUAAUGAAAUAGGACACCGGUUCUCUUUCUUCGAUGGUUUGAAGGACUGAUGUAAUGAUUAAUAGGGACAGUUGGGGACAUUCAUAUUCCAUGGCUAGAGGUGAAAUUCUUGGAUUCAUGGAAGAUGAACUACUGCGAAAGCAUUUGUCAAAGAUGUUUUCAUUGA